rnacentral:rRNA from 1 species
UACGUAGGGUGCAAGCGUUGUCCGGAAUUAUUGGGCGUAAAGAGCUCGUAGGCGGUUCGUCGCGUCGGCUGUGAAAUCCCGAGGCUCAACCUCGGGUCUGCAGUCGAUACGGGCGGACUGGAGUUCGGCAGGGGAGACUGGAAUUCCGGGUGUAGUGGUGGAAUGCGUAGAGAUCCGGAGGAACACCAGCGGCGAAGGCGGCAUCCUGGACUGGUCCUGACACUCAUGAGCGAAAGCGUGGGGAGCGAUCCGG